GGGGCACUCAGGUGGCCACUGGGUGGGCACUCAAGACACACUGCCUUGCAAUAUCCUUCUGAUCAUUCACCCUUGAAUGUAGACCUCACCAGACUGUGAGCUCUGGAUGUAAUUCCACAGUGUUCUUCCCCUGGGGAUCCUCCACUUCAACACCAAUGUCACCCACACCGGCACCUAGGAGAGAACAAGCAUUCUGUGAGCCCAGGUCACCCUGUCAGAACACUCACUGUGGAUGAGCUCAGGUACAAGAUGGAGACCGAAGGAGACAGGUACUCUGAAGGUCAAAGUCCACGCCAAGAUGCAAACAACUGUUUUCUGGUUGGGGGAGGAGGGUCAUAAACUUUCCUUUUCUCCCAUUCCAUAUUUUCUAAGUUUUCUACACUGAAAAGAAAGUGAUGUUCUAAGAA